GUGUCUCCCAGAGUUCCCUCAACCUCUUCAGUGGGACUUGGGACUCAUUAGUCAUUCUCUGCUGAAGUGUUUGGGGGAACUCCAGGUGCCAC
rnacentral:pre_miRNA from 1 species